CGGGGGCAUGUGCACACUCGUUACACAUCCCUCACACCUGUGCACCCUCUGAUUCUAUGGCCUGGGGGGGCUCUGUCCUCCUGUGGUUCUACUCUUUCCUGUAAGUCUUAUGGAAUGUGUCGCGUUAACGCAAUGAUACACUUCCAACGGAUCUCUUGGCUCUCGCAUCAUGAAAACGCAAAAUGCAGGCGUGAAUUGCAAAUUAUGAAUCAUCAAUCUUUGAACGCACCUUGCCCUUGGCUAUUCCAAGGUGCCUGUUUGAUAUCAUGAAUCCUCAACACGGCUUGCCUGUGAUGACUUGGACUUUGGGGGUCUUGCUGGCCUGUGGUCCUCCUCGCAAAUAAAUAUGUGGUGUUGGUGGGGUCAAGGUGUGAUAACUAUCUACGCUUGCUUUCCCCGGGGUAACCUUCAGGAGUUCACCGGACUUACAAUGUCUCUCCUCAUGAAACGAUUUUGACCGUUUGAUCUCAAUCACGAGACUCCCGCUGAACUUACAUAUCAAUAACGGAGAAGAAACUAACAAGAUUCCCCUAUAACUGCAUGAGCGGAAGAGCUCCAUUUAAAAUCUGGCGUGCCUCUGGUCCAUUUAUCUGGACAAGCUUUUCCGUGCGACUACAAUCG
rnacentral:rRNA from 1 species